CUCCCUCCGUUUCACAAUGUAAGUCAUUCUAGCAUUUCCCACAUUCAUAUUGAUGUUAAUGAAUCUAGACAGUACUGUCUAGAUUCAUUAACAUCAAUAUGAAUGUGGGAAAUGCUAGAAUGACUUCCAUUGUGAAACGG
rnacentral:misc_RNA from 1 species